AGGUCAUGGUGUGGGCAAUUUCUUAGCAAAAUUUUGUACCUCUCCCAAGCUUCAUAUAACGACUCUCUAGCUUGUUGUUCAAAGUUAGCAAUGACCUUCUUCAACUU